rnacentral:rRNA from 1 species
UACGUAGGGGGCUAGCGUUGUCCGGAAUCAUUGGGCGUAAAGAGCGUGUAGGCGGCCCGGUAAGUCCGCUGUAAAAGUCAAAGGCUCAACCUUUGAAUGUCAGUGGAUACUGCCGGGCUAGAGUCCGGAAGAGGCGAGUGGAACUCCUGGUGUAGCGGUGGAAUGCGCAGAUAUCAGGAAGAACACUAACGGCGAAGGCAGCUCGCUGGGACGGUACUGACGCUGAGACGCGAAAGCGUGGGGAGCGAACAGG